UACAGAGGUCCCAAGCGUUGUUCGGAUUCAUUGGGCGUAAAGGGUGCGUAGGUGGCGCCGUAAGUGGGGUGUGAAAUUUCGGAGCUUAACUCCGAAACUGCAUUCCAUACUGCGGUGCUUGAGGACUGGAGAGGAGACUGGAAUUCAUGGUGUAGCAGUGAAAUGCGCAGAUAUCAGGAAGAACACCCGUGGCGAAAGCGGCUCUCUGGAACGGUACUGACGCUGAGACGCGAAAGCGUGGGGAGCGAACAGG
rnacentral:rRNA from 1 species